UAGAAGCAGCCUCCAUUAAAAACUUUAUGAAAUCAAACAUUUGUUUUAGUUCUCGAAGACAAACACAAAGCUUCUCCCUUUCUUUAUUUUUUUUGCAUAUUAAUAAAGCUUUAAUAAGCUAUUUCAAUUCAUCUUUAUAUUCUAUCAAUAAAGCUCAUUUGAGAAAAUCUACUCUUGUUUUGAGAUUGUCUACAUGGUAUCAGAGCACCAGGGAUUAGAUCUUGGUGUCUAUACGCUUCAUCUCAACUUCUCACAAGCUCCAUCAGUCAUCUAUUUUUCCUCUAAAAAAAAAGGAAGAAGAACCAGCGACCAAGACAGAUCCUAUCAACACUGUCCUGACCAAAACCCAGACUUGCGUUUUAUUUGAAGAAGCAGGCUUGCCAAGUUGUCUCCUUCCUGUCGGCUGGCACAAAAGCAGGGGAACAAGUUUGAGAUCCCAAUGAAGAAGAAGAAGAGUUAAAAGGUGGAAGCUUUAAUCAAGUGACAGCUUCAAAAUUGCAAAGCUUGUGGAGUUGGUGCUAUAAAUGACGGUAACGUUUCCCCCUUUUCUUGGAGAUAGAACGUGUCAUAUGGCUAGUUUAGAUGAUUUCUGGAUUAGUUAUAGCUCGUGGAAUGAGAAGAAGCUGCUACUGUGAAAAUUGCUUGGUUUGAUGGUUCUGUUGGCUGUAGUACGUGGUGAUGUCAUCAUCAUAAUGGUAAUUCUCCAACUCGCAAACGAAAAAAAGUAAAAUUAAAACACGUUGAUUAUUAUUUUUCUAAUCUUAAAAAACGUUGAUUAUUAUUUUUCUAACCUUGAUCUUUAUGGAUUAAGUUGAGUCGGCUAGGUCGUGGCCGAAACUCACGAUGGAGACAUUUAUGAAAAGAUGACGGUUUAACCAUACUCUCCGUCAAGUACCAACAUAUGAUACUAUGCAACAGCUUGGCUAAUCUGUUCAAAAGUUUUAGUAGGUAUUCCGGUGAAGCGACAGAGCUCAGUUGUACAAGAUGUCGACUGAAUCCUAUUAGAGCCCAAAAGAAGAAGCCUAAUGCAAUCUUCAGAAGCCCAAAGAAGUGACAACAAAUUCAAGUGUUAAGGGUUCUAGAGUUUCAUAUAAAUAUGACUGUUAUGAGAAUGUGUUUUGUAACCUUGCUGCUCAUAGAAGCAGCCUCCAUUAAAAACUUUAUGAAAUCAAACAUUUGUUUUAGUUCUCGAAGACAAACACAAAGCUUCUCCCUUUCUUUAUUUUUUUUGCAUAUUAAUAAAGCUUUAAUAAGCUAUUUCAAUUCAUCUUUAUAUUCUAUCAAUAAAGCUCAUUUGAGAAAAUCUACUCUUGUUUUGAGAUUGUCUACAUGGUAUCAGAGCACCAGGGAUUAGAUCUUGGUGUCUAUACGCUUCAUCUCAACUUCUCACAAGCUCCAUCAGUCAUCUAUUUUUCCUCUAAAAAAAAAGGAAGAAGAACCAGCGACCAAGACAGAUCCUAUCAACACUGUCCUGACCAAAACCCAGACUUGCGUUUUAUUUGAAGAAGCAGGCUUGCCAAGUUGUCUCCUUCCUGUCGGCUGGCACAAAAGCAGGGGAACAAGUUUGAGAUCCCAAUGAAGAAGAAGAAGAGUUAAAAGGUGGAAGCUUUAAUCAAGUGACAGCUUCAAAAUUGCAAAGCUUGUGGAGUUGGUGCUAUAAAUGACGGUAACGUUUCCCCCUUUUCUUGGAGAUAGAACGUGUCAUAUGGCUAGUUUAGAUGAUUUCUGGAUUAGUUAUAGCUCGUGGAAUGAGAAGAAGCUGCUACUGUGAAAAUUGCUUGGUUUGAUGGUUCUGUUGGCUGUAUAAGAGUUAUCGGUAUUGGAUUUCAUGAGAUGUUAUUGGUGCAAGUUUGUUGAGAUGCUUUGGAAAUAAUAUUAAAGAUGUGGCUGAUAACUGAAAGGGAAGGUUAGAGUUGAAGAAUUUCAGUAGUUGAAGAAUUUCAGUAGUUGUGGACAUGUCUUUUGUUUGCUAAGUGAUGGUGCAGGACAACCAAGAGUUUUGUGAAGAACAAUGGUUGAAAAUACCUCUGAGAGAUUAUACUAAACUCUCCAAGUUCAAGAGAAACCUCUGAGUGAGUCAUGAUAGAUCUCCAAGUAUAGACCAAGAGUUCUCAUCUGGUUCUGAAGUCUAUUGUUUUAUUCUCCCUACAGCUACUUUAGGAGGUUGCUUACAUCUUCAUGUUUGAUUCAGCUGCUCACAUGCCUGUCCAGCCAUCCAAAGUCAUUCUCAUGAUCAUUCAAACUUGUCAGCUUUGUUUUCGCCCGCUGCCAAGUUUGCGGGGGAGUAUUAGAGCCCAAAAGAAGAAGCCAAUGCAAUCUUCAGAAGCCCAAAGAAGUGACAACAAGUUCAAGUGUUUAGGGUUCUAGAUAGUUUCAUAUAAAUAUGACUGUUAUGAGAAUGUGUUUUGUAACCUUGCUGCUCAUAGAAGCAGCCUCCAUUAAAGACUUUAUGAAAUCAAACGUUUGUUUUAUUUCUUGAAGACAAACAUAAAGCUUCUCCCUUUCUUUAUUUUUUUGCAUGUUAAUAAAGCUUUAAUAAGCUAUUUCAGUUCAUCUUUAUAUUCUAUCAAUAAAGCUCAUUUGAGCAAAUCUACUCUUGUUUUGAGAUUGUCUACAAAUCGAAUAUCUCAUUAGAGAUUGACAUAUUCAUUCCUCCCAAGUCAAGAUGACCGAAACAACUGCUCUCUUCACAGCCUGCAACACAUCCACCACCAACCUAAGAUACUUAGAGAAUUCUACUCAACAUAAUAUUACAUUAGCAAUCUCAUCAUGAUGAUACAGAUAGUAUAUGAUCAAAAAAUAUAUAUAUGAUCAAUCUACAUUCAUGUUCCAAAUGCUACCCAUCUUUUCAAAGGCACUAUUUCAUUAUCUAAACCUGAAGCUGCAUCCUUUGUGUGACAUCAAGAUUGUAAUCAAAUAAAGUUACAAACUUAAUACGAACCUUAACAACGUGAAUGUUGAUGGAGUCUGGGAUCUCUCUUUGAAGCGGCACAACACCAGCAUUCCUCACGAUCUCAAGCAUCAUCGAUCAUCUUCUCAAGCCACCCUCUCAUAUUAGCAGCACCUACAAUAAUGAUCGAGUUCUUCCCGUCCGAUCGUAGCAUCACCACCGUGUGUCCCAUCGGCUCCUCCGUCACCAACUUUACGUAAUCCAAGUGAACUCCAAACCCUUCAGAUCCAUCCCCCUACACACCUUCUAUCAGCUUCCCGUGAGCGACUUCUCCCAUUCUACUGAAAGAUAAGUUUCAAGGGAUGAAGGCUAACCUUUUAUAGGUGGAGAGGCACCCGGACCAUUGAAUGGUCAAAAGAGUUAAGGAUGUCAUUAAUGGCACUGAAUCAAUGAAUCCCAUAACCGUUUCGGGGAGAAGAAAAUUGAAACGAAACGGCACCGAUACAUCUCGAACCAGGGUAUCGUCAUUAGGCCUGGGCACAGAUCAGAUAUCCGGGGUUUUGAAGGUAUUUGUGAUUUGCUUUGUAUGUCACGGAUAUCUAAUUUUUCGAUUUGCUUUGCUUCGGAAAAAUACGGAUAUUCGGAAAAAACGGAUAUCCGGAAAAUAAAUAGAUAUUUGCGGAUAUUUACGAAUACUUACGGAUAUCUCAUAUGUUUUGAUUAAUACAAAUAAUCUUAAAAUUUUGAUACAAAUUUGUUUUUUUAAUUUUUUUUUGCAUGAUAUAUAUAAUAAAAAUUAAAAGAAGUAGUGAAUCUACAUAUUUUUUAAAUUUUUUGAACUUAGUUAACAAUUAUAAUAAAACAAAACUUAAUAAAAGAAAUUAUAAUUGUCAUAAAUGUGUUAUUUUCCUUUUAUAUAAUACUUUUAUAUAAUUAAUAAUGUGAAUAGAAUUUAUCAAAUCAUAUGUUAGAAUAAUAAUUAUAUAAUUUUAUACAUUAAAAAUCUUUAAUAUAAUCAAGAUAUACAUGUGUUUAUAUAUUGCCUGAUCGGAUCGGAUACCUGCUUCCAAAAAUUUUAAUAUUUGUGAUUUGCUUCGAUUUUAGCGGAUAUUUAAUUUUAGUAUUUGCUUUGCUUCAAAAGUUUACGAAUAUCCGAAAUUUUCAGAUCGAAUCGAAAAGAAUAACAAAUCGAAUCAAAUUUAACGAAUAAAAUGCCCAGCCCUAAUCGUCAUCACAAAUCAUCUCGAAUAACUGUCCCAAAACUCCAUUGUCAGAGAUGAUCGAGAAGUUGAAGAACCCUAGAUAUUGAUAUCCCCCAUUUUGAAGAAGGUGAAUGUUAUCAAUCAGGCUGAGAAUUUGCUUUCUUAAUCGAUAAAAUUGGAAUGUCGAAGCCCAAGAUUUUGACCAUGAAGCCCACAUAUUUUCGAAAACAAACGUAGAAAAAUUUAGUAAGGGAGGAAACGUGUCACUUGGUCCUUGGCCUAUUUUCUUAGGUGGCAAGAGGAGAAGAGAAUUCCCUUCUACUUUAUGUUAUUAGAUUUAUUCUUCACUUUGAUAAUUUUUGUACACAAGUGUUAGAUGAUAAAUAGAAACAAACAUACAAUAAGUAAAUAGUUUAAGUGAUAAGAGUUGUAAAAUUUAUUUAUUAAUGUUUUCGUUUUUUCUAUAACUCUUUUAUCAUUUCUUUUUGAAAAAUAAACUUUUUUCAUCUAUGUCAUUUACACGAGGAUAACUCUAUGAUUAUUUUUUUAAUAAAUCACACUCCCUUUAAAUUGACAUUCAAACAUAUUUUACACAUCACAAGUGGCAACCCGCAGGUUGGCCCACAAAACCUCUUAGUCAUGCGGAGCGGACAUGGACACAUAUAUAGGAACCAAAAUUCGCCGCUGGCGGGCCCACACGGUCUGUAAAAAGAUCAAACCCACUACGGGUUGGGAUUAUUACGUGCAAGUUGGCACGUCCGACAUCUUUAGUUUUUAGAACG
rnacentral:lncRNA from 1 species